ensembl:lncRNA ZNF350-AS1 ZNF350 antisense RNA 1
GGGAGGAAUUCUGUCGUCUGGGAACGGCUGGUUUCGCGGUCAGACGCCGAGGGCCCUCGAAGUCCCUAGCAACGGCUGCGGAGGGAGAUUCCACCUAGGUCCGUGCAGGUUACAAAUGGCAACCAGAACAGGGACUCCAAGCACGCCCAACUAGCAGCAUCCAAACAUGGGACUUCAAGGACGUGAAUGAAGAAGGUCUGCUGGAGCAGAGGAACUGAAAUUGACAAGGCGAAAGGGGACCCUGGGAAGAGUCUGCCGGCAGCAGAUAUAAGGAGAUGGGACAAGCCAUGUGGGUGCCCUCAAGGUGCAUGCGACCAUGGAAUGGGAGACUGGAGGAACCCAGGGUGGCCAACCAUGGGCCCAGUCCCUCCUGUACGAGCUAUGAGUCAGCUGAGCCUGAGUGCAAAGAUGGAGAGAAGGCCAACCAGAGUCAUGAUGACAUCAACCCCCAUAACCUGGGGACAACUCAAGAAAACCACACAGGAAGCUGAGAAACUACUGGAGUGUCAGGGACAGGCAAAACCCCUGAUUCCAUGCUCUUGGCCAUGUUAGCCAUAAUGUCCUGUGCACUACGUUUUCCCUGUGCACAGGCAAAAACAUAUUGGGCAUAUGUUCCCAAUCCCCCAGCAGUAUGGCCUAUACUUUGGAGCUCACUCCUCCUGAGAUUUAUCACGAUCAGGGAGAGUGGGCUCCAGGACCCCUAACUCCCCGUGACAUAGAAAAGUUAGACUCUCAGAACAAUGUCAUUAAUUAUACCACUCCACUGGAAGGACUCCCUUUGUUUAUCACCACAAAGACGUCGCUCAGCCAUAGCUGUCUUGCAAUUCAAGCUCAAACAUGGUUGAGUCACUAUGGAAAAAUUAUGUACUUAUUAGGUCUUGGUUCUAUUAAUGUAACUGGUGUGCUAACCAAUCAUUCCCAGUCCAGUCACCCUAAUUGUGCUGAUUAUACAGAAUGGAUUCCAUUCAAUAGUUCCUACCCCACUCUGUGGACCCAGUGUCUUGAUCCACUGGCUAGUAAACAAUAUAUGUCAACUGAAGACACUGUGGAUUGGGAACCUAAAGGUCAAUUAGAUGGAAAAGGUGAAAGUCAGAAAUCAUGGCACAAACUUCACUGGCAUUGGCGGCAAGCUUUUAAUGCUUCUUCUUUAUACAACAGCAGAAUCCAAUCCCAGUCUGCUGCUCAGAUUGCUUGGCAUGGAGCAGGCUUUAGCCCACCUCUUCCUCAGUUGCAUUAUCUGGGGAGGAAAGGACCAAUUCAAGAAACUAUAUGGAAGGCAGCACUCCCAUUUAUGAAUGGCAACAUCUGGAUUGGAACACUGUCUAAUAAUAGCAAUAGUAAGCAACACAGUCUUAAUGUUGCAUUUGUAAAGAAUAUCACCACUCAGUUUACAGUUUGUGUUUUUAAUCCUUAUGCCUUUUUGGCAGCUAAGAAGAACCAGCUUCAGGUAAACAAUACCCAAUUGACCUGUAAAUCUUGCCAGUUAUAUCACACUGCAUUAAUCAUAGCACAUUACGAACACAUAAUAUCUCUACUUUGAUAAUGUUGGGUUGCAUCCCUGGGCUAUGGAUUCUUGUUAAUCUGUCUGAGCCUUGGGCUGCCACACCUGCUUUGCAUUUUUGUAACACUUCUUCUAACUCAGCUUACUCACUGUGUCCAUAGAGCCUUAGGCAUAAUUUUUGCUAUUGUUUCCUUGGUCAAACUAAUAACUUCUGUUGUGAUAUCUUCUGUAACUCUGCAUAAUUCUAUUCAAACAUCUCAGUAGGUGGAGAACUGGACACGCACAGCUGACCAAGCGAGGCUACUUCAGAAUAAAAUUAACACUGAGUUACAAACUGAAGUGGCAAUGUUGAAAUCCAUGGUUCUGUGGUUAGGAGAACAGGUACAAAGCUUGCAGUUGCAGCAGCAAUUGCGUCAUCAUUUUAAUCACAUUCAUAUUUGCGUAACUAACUCAGAAUAUAACCAAAGUGAGUAUCCGUGGGACCUUGUGAAAGCCCAUUUGCAAGGAGCUUUCACAUCCAACAUCACCUUUGAUAUUGGUGAAUUACAAAACAAAAUUAUUGAUUUAAAUAGGCAAACUCAAGAAUUUCAGCCUUCUUUAGAAGACUGGACCGAAUUCCAGGAAGGCCUGGAGAGCCUCAACCCUUGGACCUAUCUAAGGCACCACAUUAACAUCUUAUAUGUAGUUCUUGGAAUAAUGUUGUUUUGUCUCUGUCUUCGGUUUAUAGUCUGUAAAAUCGGAUGGACCACCAAUUGGAGAAUGAGAGCCUCCCAGCCCAGCCUUACAUUCUUUCAAUUAAUACAUAAACAGAAAGGGGGAUAUGCAGGGAGCCAAAGGCCUGUGGGACGUGACCAACUCAGCAUUCUGCUGGAGGCUAUAUGAUCAAACAGCAAACUGUUUAUCAUGAAUACAGGAUGUGAGCAAACUCAGGACUGCUCCUGCCAACAUAAGGUUUGCUGGAGGCAAUCACUCCCUGGCACCGAGGUUAUCUACUGCGACAUCUAGAGAAUGCAGUCUUGCAAGCCUACUCUGAACUGAGCAGCCGACCCCUUCUUCCACCCCCCCACCCUCCUAUCUCUUUUGCCUAAUAAAUACGGAGGGCUGUGUAAAGCUCAGGGCCCUUGUCCACUAGAGGUAAGGUGCU